rnacentral:rRNA from 1 species
GACGAACGCUGGCGGCGUGCUUAACACAUGCAAGUCGAACGAAGUGGCGAACGGGGGAGUAAUACGUGGGUAGCCUGCCCUCCGUUGUGGGAUAAGCCUUGGAAACGGGGUCUAAUACCGAAUAAAGGGGGAUGGGGUCGCGGCCUAUCAGCUUGUUGGUGGGGUGAUGGUCGACCAAGGCGGCGACGGGUGGCCGGCCUGAGAGGGUGACCGGCAACAAUGGCACUGAGCGACGGCCCAGACUCCUACGCGGGGGAGCAUUGGGGGAAAUUGCCCAAUGGGCGAAAGCCUGAUGCCGCGACGCCGCGUGGGGGCUUGAGGCUUUCGGGUUGUAACCCUCUUUCGCUAUCGAAUGGGUAGGUGGAGAAGAAGCGCCGGCUAACUACGUGCCAGCAGCCGCGGUAAUUC